GCACUGUUUUAUUUCUAUUGAGUGUUGCAGUAACAUAAGUGCCUAGGUUUCCUUUGCUGCAGUUAUUAUGCUGUCGAAGUUGUUGCAGAUAACAAGAUACCAAUAUGACGUCGUCCGCAAACGAUGGAAAGAUUGGCAGUUUUGUUACUCUGUCUUGAUUGAGUUGUAUGCGGGGCACAUCUUCUUCGCCCUGGUGUAGAUCAGUUAGUAGCCAUUCGGGUCUCGCGGAAUAAACCAUGGCGGCUCUCCACCUGGAAAUCACAUCGAUAAGUUCUCUCGUAAGUCUGGUGAGCGUGCCAAACAAUAACGUAAAACUAAUGUAGGUUUUCAAACACAUGUUUUUUUAACUAUUAAAACGUAU